UCCUUACCUUGGGAUUGCACUACUGUUCAAUGAAUGUAUAGUGAAAACAGUACUGCUGACGCCGGCACAGCACUUAUGCAUCCCUGGGGUUUAGGCUCCAAUGUGGUGCA
rnacentral:ncRNA from 11 species